AUUGUUUACUUUAUAAAGAAUCUGCGAAUAGUAGGGGAUUGUUUACUUUAUAAAGAAUCAGCUAAUGGUAGGGGAUUGUUUACUUUAUUUACCACAUGGUAUUUUCAAACUCAUAUAUAUUGAAUCGGCUAAUAAUAAGGCAGUUUGUCCUUUAUUUACAUUGUGUAUGAUAUUGUUAAACUCAGGUUGUGAUUUAUGAGAUGUUUAAAUCUUGACGUUCAAAAUGAUGUAGUUGAUUUUAUGAUGUUUGAUCCAUGUAAUGAUCCAUGUAAUGUAUUUUUUUUUAAUUAUUACUUUGUUAGUUUGAAUACCAUGUAAAUGAGAUUAACAAUAAUUAUUAUAUGAUAUGUAUUCAUGUAUUCAACUAUUCUAUAACGAAGACAAUUCAAAUAGACUGCGUGAGACUGCGACAAAAAAUGGCAGGAAUUUCCAAACCAUUUUACUCCUUUAAAGAAACACUGAAGCUAAAUAUAUUUUCAUUAUCUUGGUUUUUUAAAACACAGUUCAAAUAAAAAUUGUACAUGUACUGAAAGUUUUAACUAUGUUAUUGGAAAAUUAAACUCUUAAAUCGUGUGAAAGAUGUUCCGGAAUUCAGAAUUUACAUCAUUUCAGCUCGAACUUUGAAGUUUUAUUUACAUCAUGUGAUUCUGAAUAACAUCAGUUAUCAAUGGAAUAUUGGAGAUACAUAUAUAUAGUUAUAAAUAUAUAAUUUAUAGAAAUAAACUGGGCUACCAAUAUUUAUUGAUUUGAGAAUUAAAAAAUUCAAGAGUUAACAAAGCGUAAUUUUUGCAAAGUUUAUACUUUAAUCUUUGCUGGAAAAUUCAUUUAAGUUAUUGGAAAACUGUCAUUUCAUGGUAUUUGUUCAAAAUGAGCUGUAGUGUCUCUUUAAGAUAUUUGCACCGUUCAUGGACUUUAAUAUGUUGCAUUUUCUAUCACUGUUAUCGAUUUAAUAUAUUGUGUCAAUGUUAUUAUACUCAAGUUAAUGUUUUUCGUUAAAAUUGGUGUAAAAACUCAAUAUAGAAAAUAAUGAAAACAAUAUAUUACAAAGGUUCACUUUUGUAUAAUGCGUUAAAUAUACUAUUUUAAUGAUUUCUUUAUAAAUAAAUCAGAAUAAUAUUGUUGUACAUGUAUCAGAUGAAAAUAAUAAAAGUGUAAUUGUUUUAUGAAUAAAAUAUUAUUGUUGC
rnacentral:sRNA from 1 species